rnacentral:rRNA from 1 species
GCGGCCAUAGCGCCGUGGAACCACCUGAUCCCAUGCCGAACUCAGAAGUGAAACGCGGUAGCGCCGAUGGUAGUGUGGCAUUCGCCAUGCGAGAGUAGGACACUGCCAGGC